GUACACUCCUACGGGAGGCAGCAGUGGGGAAUAUUGCACAAUGGGCGCAAGCCUGAUGCAGCCAUGCCGCGUGUAUGAAGAAGGCCUUCGGGUUGUAAAGUACUUUCAGCGGGGAGGAAGGCGAUAAGGUUAAUAACCUUGUCGAUUGACGUUACCCGCAGAAGAAGCACCGGCUAACUCCGUGCCAGCAGCCGCGGUAAUACGGAGGGUGCAAGCGUUAAUCGGAAUUACUGGGCGUAAAGCGCACGCAGGCGGUCUGUCAAGUCGGAUGUGAAAUCCCCGGGCUCAACCUGGGAACUGCAUUCGAAACUGGCAGGCUAGAGUCUUGUAGAGGGGGGUAGAAUUCCAGGUGUAGCGGUGAAAUGCGUAGAGAUCUGGAGGAAUACCGGUGGCGAAGGCGGCCCCCUGGACAAAGACUGACGCUCAGGUGCGAAAGCGUGGGGAGCAAACAGGAUUAGAAACCCCAGUAGUCCC
rnacentral:rRNA from 1 species